CCCCUUUCUUCUCUAACAGCGUUCUCCUCCCAGGUAACCUCAUUCAGAGGUAUGGCUCUGAAAAACAUCUUUAUGCAAAUGAAUAGCUGUUUGAAUUUCUAGUCAAGACUCCUCUUCUGAGUUCCAGACUCAGGAAUUCAUUACAUACUUGACAUCUUUACUGGGCUAAUAGAUUGCACAAAUUUAGUAUGGACAAAAGGAAAACUCUCAAGCUAAGUAAGUUAGUAAAUAAAUAAAUGAAUAGAUAAGCAGGAUAACAGUACUUUUCUAGUCCCCACUCCUCCCAGUGAACAGCCCACCAUCACUUUAGUUGGUCAGACUCCAAACUUACAAGCCAUUCUUAAUUUCUCAUUUCCCUUUAUGCCCAUAUCUGAUCAGUUACCAUUUCCUGUUGAGUCUGCUAAACCUCCCCACCUUUCUCCAUCCCACCACUAGCAUUCGGGUCCAAUUCUCCCCAUCCUAUAAAAGCACUUAGUAUAGUGCCCCGAGUUGAGUAAGUGCUAAAUAACUAUUUAUUGGCCGCAUAAAUACAUAAGUAAACAAAUAAAUGAAUGCUAUUUAAGCUUGAGGAAGUCUCUAAAGUUCAUAAGUUCUUAUCCAACAUGUAACCCAGAGAGACAAGUUGUUUAUAAACAGUAUAUUCGAUUUUGAUAAAUAAUGUCUUCUAGGUCACAAAGCUGGCUAGAAAGAGUCAGGACAAGGACAGUCAAAAAUACCUGGCUUUAUUCAGAACCUGCUGGACCAUCAUGGAUGGUCAUGGUACUGCACAUGAGGACAUGGAGAAACUGCAGAAAGCCUACGACAGGAGCAAAUUUGAUCAAAGCUUCCCAGGUUUAGACAACAGCCAACAGCUGGCAGAAACCGCCUGUCAACUGGUCAAUGGACAGAUGACUGUGAUAUACAAGAAAGGUCCAGGUGGUAGACUGAAGGAAAAGCUACAGAGACAUCUUAUUGUCCCUACUUCCCAAAGCUUGGAGUUGGGAGGAACUAACACUGUAAGGGGGUGGUCCCCGGGCUGGAGGUCCACCUGGAAAGGAGCCCUGGACGGAUCUCCUGCCCUGAAACCUGCCACUCCCCCAAUGCUUCCAGCUGAUCGCCUUCACAUGAUUUAGAAAAGGAACUGUUUGUUCCUUUUCUUUAUCUAUUUACCCCAAUUAAUGAUCCAUUCUAGCUGUUGUGGAUUGUAACAUUAAUGCAUUUGUUCCUCUAGACAAUGGCUUUCAGAGUUAGCUAUUUUUAUGGACAAAGUCUUUCCAAGACAAAUAAAAGCCAACCCCAUGGUUCUGUCA
rnacentral:lncRNA from 1 species